rnacentral:lncRNA from 1 species
UUGUAUAUUGUAUUAGUAUAAUAAUCACUUUACUAUAAAGUGUAGAAUCAUGAAAUUUGUAUGUCAUUUGUUACUUCUCAUUUUUUUUUUUUUUUUACGUGUGAGAUAUGUACUUAUCAAGUUAUCAUGUCGAGUUGUCGACAAUGGGAUCUCUAUAAAAUGAUAAGUACACUUUUUCAAAUUUCUCUCGUAAAGGCUAUGAGCUUUUUUUGGGUAGGUCGAUCGAGAUUGUUAAAU